GGUUGCGAUCAUACCAGCACUAAUGCACCGGAUCCCAUUAGAACUCCGCAGUUAAGCGUGUUUGGGCGAGAGUAGUACUAGGAUGGGUGACCCCCUGGGAAGUCCUCGUGUUGCAACCC
rnacentral:rRNA from 1 species